AAGUUAUUAUUCAAGAGUUAAUAAACAGUUAUGAAGAAGGAGUAAAAUGGAUCUACAACAGUAAAAAUAGUACAAUUAUUUAUUCAAAUGCCAAGACGACAAAAGACAUAGAAGAACUACCUAGACGGAUUACUACCAUUGCAAAUUGGGAAAUUACGCCAACAACUAAUGCAUUGAGGAUAUAUCCGAAGCAGAUGACGGAGAAGACAAAAUACCUAUUAUGUCAACAAUUGAAGGACUUAUUCAACU
rnacentral:lncRNA from 1 species